UCUAUUUUCUUUAUGCUGUUAACCUUAGGCGGGGAGACUGGGGGAUCUUCAUUUAUAUUUUAAAAUUUGAUUCACUCUGCAGUUUGUCUCCUGUCUAUGUAUCCUUUUGAGAAACCGUUUAUGAGUGAUCAUUCUUCCAUCAGAUUGAACAGGAUCCAGGGGGAAGUACCAAGCCUGUCCCAUCGGCCAUCCUGUGUGUCAUGUCCUGUGACCCAGUGGAUGCUCAGCAUCCUCCAGCUGAAGAAACAGAUUGCCUUAGGUACAUGAAAGGUGAGGACACCUACUAUCCCCAUGGAGCCCAGGUGGGCCUGGGAGUCUGCUGUUUGUACAGCCGGUGGGCUCGUGUUGCUUUGGGCAUCCCUGUGCCUGAAUUCCUGCAGUACACUCGGUGUGCAUUCCAUGGUGCAUCCUCACCUAGAAUUGAGUGGAAGCAAGUCCAUUUCAGAAGGGACAUAACUGAAGAGGAAUGGCUUUCCAGACUCUGAAGGGCAGAGAAAGCACCAGCCUGGGUUAGAGAAAGAGAACAGCAUCUCUGAGCCCGUCCUGGGUGACCUCACAGAGAUCACUCUAGUGGCCCAGGCUAGUGACCGGGAACAUGUACCUUCCUGCAGCCAACCCCAGACGUCCACUGAUGCAUCAUAUACUGGCAAAUAUGUGAGUUCAUGUGCAUUGG